rnacentral:rRNA from 1 species
UGAUGGCGUGCCUUUUGUAGAAUGAACCGGCGAGUUACGAUUUGAUGCAAGGUUAAGCAGUAAAUGUGGAGCCGUAGCGAAAGCGAGUCUGAAUAGGGCGUUUAGUAUUUGGUCGUAGACCCGAAACCAGGUGAUCUACCCUUGGUCAGGUUGAAGUUCAGGUAACACUGAAUGGAGGACCGAACCGACUUACGUUGAAAAGUGAGCGGAUGAACUGAGGGUAGCGGAGAAAUUCCAAUCGAACCUGGAGAUAGCUGGUUCUCUCCGAAAUAGCUUUAGGGCUAGCCUCAAGUGAUGAUUAUUGGAGGUAGAGCACUGUUUGGACGAGGGGCCCCUCUCGGGUUACCGAAUUCAGACAAACUCCGAAUGCCAAUUAAUUUAACUUGGGAGUCAGAACAUGGGUGAUAAGGUCCGUGUUCGAAAGGGAAACAGCCCAGACCACCAGCUAAGGUCCCAAAAUAUAUGUUAAGUGGAAAAGGAUGUGGCGUUGCCCAGACAACUAGGAUGUUGGCUUAGAAGCAGCCAUCAUUUAAAGAGUGCGUAAUAGCUCACUAGUCGAGUGACACUGCGCCGAAAAUGUACCGGGGCUAAACAUAUUACCGAAGCUGUGGAUUGUCCUUUGGACAAUGGUAGGAGAGCGUUCUAAGGGCGUUGAAGCAUGAUCGUAAGGACAUGUGGAGCGCUUAGAAGUGAGAAUGCCGGUGUGAGUAGCGAAAGACGGGUGAGAAUCCCGUCCACCGAUUGACUAAGGUUUCCAGAGGAAGGCUCGUCCGCUCUGGGUUAGUCGGGUCCUAAGCUGAGGCCGACAGGCGUAGGCGAUGGAUAACAGGUUGAUAUUCCUGUACCACCUAUAAUCGUUUUA